UACGUAGGGGGCAAGCGUUGUCCGGAUUUAUUGGGCGUAAAGAGCGUGUAGGCGGCCAAGCAGGUCUGCUGUGAAAACUCGAGGCUCAACCUCGAGACGCCGAUGGAAACCAUCUGACUAGAGUCCGGAAGAGGAGAGUGGAAUUCCUGGUGUAGCGGUGAAAUGCGCAGAUAUCAGGAAGAACACCCGUGGCUAAGGCGGCUCUCUAGUACGUGACUGACGCUGAGACGCGAAAGCGUGGGUAACAAACAGG
rnacentral:rRNA from 1 species